AGUGAACGCUGGCGGUAGGCCUAACACAUGCAAGUCGAACGGCAGCACAGUAAGAGCUUGCUCUUACGGGUGGCGAGUGGCGGACGGGUGAGGAAUACAUCGGAAUCUACUUUUUCGUGGGGGAUAACGUAGGGAAACUUACGCUAAUACCGCAUACGACCUACGGGUGAAAGCAGGGGAUCUUCGGGCCUUGCGCGAUUGAAUGAGCCGAUGUCGGAUUAGCUAGUUGGCGGGGUAAAGGCCCACCAAGGCGACGAUCCGUAGCUGGUCUGAGAGGAUGAUCAGCCACACUGGAACUGAGACACGGUCCAGACUCCUACGGGAGGCAGCAGUGGGGAAUAUUGGACAAAGGGCGCAAGCCUGAUCCAGCCAUACCGCGUGGGUGAAGAAGGCCUUCGGGUUGCAAAGCCCUUUUGUUGGGAAAGAAAAGCAGCAGGUUAAUACCCCGCUGUUCUGACGGUACCCAAAGAAUAAGCACCGGCUAACUUCGUG
rnacentral:rRNA from 1 species